GCUCCGGUGCUGUGGUGGUGCAUUUGCAGGUGGAGUGCGCCGAGGCGUCCGGCUCAGCGGCAUGAGCUCGGCUUUGAGGCCAACCGCGCAAGCGGUCUGGUACCCGGGUCGGGGGAGUGCUGUUUGGGCUGGGCGUUCGCUUGGGUUGUGGUUUCGGGCCCGGGUGGGUGCCGAGCUGGCGGUCGGCGGCGGUCGCAUGCGACACGUGCCAGCAGUCAGUUCGGUCCYGCUCGAGCUCACAUCUGCCCGGCCUCGGUGUAAAAGCCGGUCAUCUGUCCGACCCGUCUUGAAACACGGACCAAGGAGUUUAGCGUGUGCGCGAGUCAUUGGGCGUUGAAAACCCAAAGGCGCAAUGAAAGUGAAGGUCUGCCUUGUGCAGCUGAUGUGUGAUCCUGGGUGCCGCGGUGCCCGGGCGCAACAUAGUCCCGU
rnacentral:rRNA from 1 species